GGAAAACUUCAAAUACCAGGUUUCACACUUUCUCACUUUAGUAUCAUGUGGUUUAAAGUGUAUCAAUUUAGUGUCCUGUGAUUUCAUUUUUAUUUUUUUAUUAUCGAUUCCACUAAUUUUUUUCGUUAAAUCAAUGACAAAAUUAAAAUUAAAGGAUACUAAAGUGAAUAUUCGAUAAACCUAGAUGGGGUAUCUGAAGUUUUUUGUAUAUAAUUUAACGAAAUAUUAACAGAAAAGCUGACGAAAAGAUAAAAAUGAAAUCAGAUGAAAUAUUAACAGAAAAGCUGACGAAAAGAUAAAAAUGAAAUCAGAUGGUACUAACUUGAUACAUUUUAAACCACACGGUACUAAAGUAAGAAAGCGCGUAACCACAUGGGUGAUUUUUGAAGUUUACCUUUUAUUUAAAACGCGUAACCACAUGGGUGAUUUUUGAAGUUUACCUUUUAUUUAAAUGGUUAAUUACAUGUAGCAGCUCUUUGUAAACAUACCGAAUAGCUAGCAAAUAUAUCUCUAUAAAGUUUAAUUUUUUAUAUUUAUUCUUGUAAAAAUUUUAAAUUUUCAAAUAUAUCCAUAUUGUUAGGAUCCGUAAGAAAAAUAUAGUUAAUCAUAGAUAAAAUACUUAAUUCUGAUUAGUGAAUAA
rnacentral:lncRNA from 1 species